UAGAGCCUACCUGUGAUUACCAUUUCAUUUUCCUUUCUUCAUCCUUAUCUUCAUCUCCUUCCUCUCCUUUCCUCUUCCACCUUCCUUCCUCCAUCAAUUUUAAUGGUAGUGAAGAUUUUAAUAGUAGUUAAGCAAUAAUUUCAACCUCUAUUCUAUCCAAGUAAGUAAAUCUUCUUGAAUUUCAUAAUUGAAUCAUUUGGUGAUAUUUUUAGAGUAUUCAUAAGAAUUCUUAUUUAUAGGUGAAGUGAGUUUAAAGGUAGUAGAAAAAGGAAGCUAAAAAGAACAGCUCAAGUUUUUUAGAGUGAAGGUUUGAUAUCUCUUUUAAUUUAUCACUUUCCUUGCAUGAAAACUUGUGUUGUGUGUUGAUAAUGAGAAAAUAUGUUGCUUAAUGUUGAGUGAGAGAACUGGAAAUGAUGAGAAAGCAUAGGAUGAAAUGGAUAAAUGAACAACAUAAUGAACAGCAUAAUAAAUGCCAUUUCACUGUAACCUUAUGGAGCCAUACAGUUAUGGGAUUGUAUUAUGUAUAAAUUAUAAAAGGUGCAUAAUUUAUACAGCAUAAUGAACAGCAGGCAAGAUCAUGAAAGUAUAUUGAUAUGUGUGAUUGCAUGUUUAUUUAUUUCUUAUUAAGUUGAGAUAUCCACUGAGCUUUAUUUGCUCAGCGAGUUACUUGUUUUAACUCGCAGAUUCUAGGUCUGGACUGUAGAGAAUCAUCGUACAACUGCGGCAGUUCAUCUUUGGAAGACCCAGUCUUCAGGGUAGCUAUUCAUUUUGAUAUUUUGGUACUGUCUAUUCUUAUCAUGGCAUGUACCGGGCACAUAGUUGGGCCCAUUUCAUUUUGGAAACUAAUAUAAUAUCUUGUAAAUGUUAAGUACAUAUCUCUAUUUUACUAAUGUAAAAAAAAAGCAACAGCAUGAUUUAUUAUUCAACAUACAUAAGGAUAUCAGCCUGAAAGGAUAUAAAUCCAACCAGAUUGUAGCGUCUCGGCUCGGUUCAUUCGAGUUAACGGGUGGACUGGGAAGGGAUGUUACAAAAUUUGUUCUCCACGUGAAAAGCCUAUGUUAUAUCUUUAAGUAAAAUAGCAUAAAGAAACACAAUUGGG
rnacentral:lncRNA from 1 species